rnacentral:rRNA from 1 species
CAGUCGCCACGGUAAUACGGAGGGUGCAAGCGUUAAUCGGAAUUACUGGGCGUAAAGCGCACGCAGGCGGUCUGACAAGUCAGAUGUGAAAUUCCCGGGCUUAACCUGGGAACUGCAUUUGAAACUGUCAGGCUGGAGUCUUGUAGAGGGGGGUAGAAUUCCAGGUGUAGCGGUGAAAUGCGUAGAGAUCUGGAGGAAUACCGGUGGCGAAGGCGGCCCCCUGGACAAAGACUGACGCUCAGGUGCGAAAGCGUGGGGAGCAAACAGGAUUAGAUACCCGCGUAGUCCCUGUCUCUUAUAC